GACUUGACAUCUCCUGAAUUACUCUUAAUCGAGGAAGUCCCUUCGGGGACAGGAAGACAGGUGGUGCAUGGUUGUCGUCAGCUCGUGUCGUGAGAUGUUGGGUUAAGUCCCGCAACGAGCGCAACCCUUAUUGUUAGUUGCUACUAUUAAGUUAAGCACUCUAACGAGACUGCCGCGGUUAACGUGGAGGAAGGUGGGGAUGACGUCAAAUCAUCAUGCCCCUUAUGUCUAGGGCUACACACGUGCUACAAUGGCUGGUACAACGAGCAGCAAACCCGCGAGGGGGAGCAAAACUUGAAAGCCAGUCCCAGUUCGGAUUGUAGGCUGAAACUCGCCUACAUGAAGUUGGAGUUGCUAGUAAUCGCGAAUCAGCAUGUCGCGGUGAAUACGUUCCCGGGUCUUGUACACACCGCCCGUCACACCAUGAGCGCCGGUAACACCCGAAGCCCGUGAGGUAACCGUAAGGAGCCAGCGGUCGAAGGUGGGAUUGGUGAUUGGGGUGAAGUCGUAACAAGGUAGCCGUAGGAGAACCUGCGGCUGGAGCACCUCCUUUCUAGGGA
rnacentral:rRNA from 1 species